rnacentral:lncRNA from 1 species
CAAGCAUCUUGACUAGGAUAUAUAUUUAAACUGAGAGUUCACCUUAAACAUGGCAAAACUUGUGUGUUUGGUUGUAUUUGCAGUAAUUGUGGUUGGCAGUUCAGGACAACUUCCAGGCAUGGACUACAUGCAACAGAUCAUGGCAAACAUAGGUCGGUU